GACGAACGCUGGCGGCGUGCUUAACACAUGCAAGUCGAACGGAAAGGCCCUGCUUUUGUGGGGUGCUCGAGUGGCGAACGGGUGAGUAACACGUGAGUAACCUGCCCUUGACUUUGGGAUAACUUCAGGAAACUGGGGCUAAUACCGGAUAGGAGCUCCUGCUGCAUGGUGGGGGUUGGAAAGUUUCGGCGGUUGGGGAUGGACUCGCCGCUUAUCAGCUUGUUGGUGGGGUAGUGGCUUACCAAGGCUUUGACGGGUAGCCGGCCUGAGAGGGUGACCGGCCACAUUGGGACUGAGAUACGGCCCAGACGCCUACGGGAGGCAGCAGUGGGGAAUAUUGCACAAUGGGCGGAAGCGUGAUGCAGCAACGCCGCGUGCGGGAUGACGGCCUUCGGGUUGUAAACCGCUUUCGCCUGUGACGAAGCGUGAGUGACGGUAAUGGGUAAAGAAGCACCGGCUAACUACGUG
rnacentral:rRNA from 1 species